rnacentral:rRNA from 1 species
UGGAUCCAGACUUUGAUCAUGGCUCAGGACGAACGCUGGCGGCGUGCUUAACACAUGCAAGUCGAACGAGAGGAGAAGGAAGCUUGCUUCUUUCAAAUCUAGUGGCAAACGGGUGAGUAACACGUAAACAACCUGCCUUCAGGAUGGGGACAACAGACGGAAACGACUGCUAAUACCGAAUACGUUCCUUAGGUCGCAUGACUUUAGGAAGAAAGGGUGGCCUCUACUUGUAAGCUAUCGCCUGAAGAGGGGUUUGCGUCUGAUUAGGUAGUUGGUGAGGUAACGGCCCACCAAGCCGACGAUCAGUAGCCGGUCUGAGAGGAUGAACGGCCACACUGGAACUGAGACACGGUCCAGACUCCUACGGGAGGCAGCAGUGGGGAAUCUUCCGCAAUGGGCGAAAGCCUGACGGAGCAACGCCGCGUGAGUGAUGACGGCCUUCGGGUUGUAGAGCUCUGUGAUCGGGGACGAACGGUCAGCAGACGAAUACUCUGCUGAAGUGACGGUACCCGAAUAGCAAGCCACGGCUAACUACGUGCCAGCAGCCGCGGUAAUACGUAGGUGGCAAGCGUUGUCCGGAAUUAUUGGGCGUAAAGCGCGCGCAGGCGGCUUCUUAAGUCCAUCUUAAAAGUGCGGGGCUUAACCCCGUGAUGGGAUGGAAACUGAGAGGCUGGAGUAUCGGAGAGGAAAGUGGAAUUCCUAGUGUAGCGGUGAAAUGCGUAGAGAUUAGGAAGAACACCGGUGGCGAAGGCGACUUUCUGGACGACGACUGACGCUGAGGCGCGAAA